CAAAGCCAUCAAUGAGACUACUAUACACAACUACAUUUAGUUCCACACCCCUUGAUUUUGCUUCUUCAAAAAGUAUGUAAGCUUCAUCAAGUCUGUCAAUUUUAGCAAGCCCAUCAAUUACCGAACCAUAGGUGACCACGGUCGGUUGAUGACCCUGCACCUUCAUUUCCUCCAGCAACUGGUAAGCUUUAUUCACUUUAGCGGACUUGCAAAAUCCAUCAAUAACGGUGUUGUAAG
rnacentral:misc_RNA from 1 species